ensembl:lncRNA
AAUGGUUGUGUCUGAGUGACAGUGAAUACAGUUCAAACCCCGCGCUGCGUCUGAUUGGUGUUUGUGUUGUCCGAGUGUUUAUAGUUCGCCUUCAUUGACGUAGAAACUCUGAAUGAAAGCCCUCGCGCGUCUCUGACGUACCGGAUCAUGUGUCGGUUACCGUAGACUUCUCGAGCUAGACUUUUCCCUCCGUCCUCGUCUUCGCUCCGGUGUGGAUUCUUCCUCCCGGCGGCUCGCGACGCGUUCUCAGAAGCGGUCUGCUGAGACGACGGUGAGAUGUUGGAUGGAGACUGGAGCUCUUCGUCCCCGUCCGGGAAGUUCACAAACCCACAGAGGCGUUCGAAGGCGAGUCAAUAUUGAGUUUGGCUGUGGACAGAAUUCCUGAGCUGGAAUCAAUCUGAUUGGCUGAGCGGG